UACAGAGACUGCAAGCGUUAUUCGGAUUCACUGGGCGUAAAGGGUGCGCAGGCGGUUGGGUGUGUCAGAUGUGAAAUCCCGAGGCUUAACCUCGGAACUGCGUCUGAAACUACUCGACUAGAGUACUGGAGAGGGUAACGGAAUUCACGGUGUAGCAGUGAAAUGCGUAGAUAUCGUGAGGAACACCAGAGGCGAAGGCGGUUACCUGGACAGUUACUGACGCUCAGGCACGAAAGCAUGGGGAGCAAACGGG
rnacentral:rRNA from 1 species